rnacentral:rRNA from 1 species
GCGGCGGACGGGUGAGUAUCGCGUGGGAAUUUACCAUAGAGUGGGGGACAGCUGCUGGAAACGGCAGCUAAUACCGCAUACGCCCUAAGGGGGAAAGGCUUCGGCCGCUCAAUGAGAAGCCCGCGUACGAUUAGUUUGUUGGUGGGGUAAUGGCCUACCAAGACUACGAUCGUUAGCUGGUCUGAGAGGACGAUCAGCCACACUGGGACUGAGACACGGCCCAGACUCCUACGGGAGGCAGCAGUGGGGAAUAUUGGACAAUGGGCGAACGCCUGAUCCAGCGAUGCCGCGUGAGUGAAGAAGGCCUUAGGGUUGUAAAGCUCUUUCGGUGGGGAAGAUAAUGACGGUACCCACAAAAGAAGCCCCGGCUAACUCCGUGCCAGCAGCCGCGGUAAUACGGAGGGGGCUAGCGUUACUCGGAAUUACUGGGCGUAAAGCGAGCGUAGGCGGUUUAAUAAGUUGAGGGUGAAAGCCCGGGGCUCAACCCCGGAAAUGCCCUCAAAACUAUUUGACUAGAGGACGGGAGAGGGGAGUGGAACUCCCAGUGUAGAGGUGAAAUUCGUAGAUAUUGGGAAGAACACCAGUGGCGAAGGCGACUCUCUGGACCGUUUCUGACGCUAAGGCUCGGAAGCGUGGGUAGCAAACAGGAUUAGAUACCCUGGUAGUCCACGCCGUAAACGAUGAUUGCUAGACGUUGGGGA